rnacentral:hammerhead_ribozyme from 1 species
GCACUGCGGAGGAGUCCCAUACUAAGACGAAACGGCCGUCCAGUGC